rnacentral:rRNA from 1 species
UACGUAGGGUGCGAGCGUUGUCCGGAAUUACUGGGCGUAAAGAGCUCGUAGGUGGUUUGUCACGUCGUCUGUGAAAUUUCCGGGGCUUAACCUCGGGCGUGCAGGCGAUACGGGCAAUACUUGAGUGCUGUAGGGAGACUGGAAUUCCUGGUGUAGCGGUGAAAUGCGCAGAUAUCAGGAGGAACACCAAUGGCGAAGGCAGGUCUCUGGGCAGUCACUGACGCUGAGGAGCGAAAGCAUGGGUAGCGAACAGGGAUUUAGA